GUGCAGCAGGCGAGAAAACUUCACACUGUGCGAAAGCACGAUGAGGGAAUCCCAAGUGCUUGCACGUAAGUGUAAGCUGUUUCUCUGUCUAAAACGCAGAGAGAGUAAGGGCUGGGUAAGACGGGUGCCAGCCCGCCGCGGUAAUACCUGCAGCUCAAGUGGUGACCGUUAUUAUUGGGCCUAAAACGUCCGUAGCCGGUUUAAUAAAUGCCUGGGUAAAUUGUGUAGCUUAACUAUACGAAUUCCGGGUAGACUGUUAAACUUGAGACCGGGAGAAGUUAGAGGUACUCCUGGGGUAGAGGUGAAAUUCUGUAAUCCUAGGGGGACCACCAGUGGCGAAGGCGUCUAACUAGAACGGGUCUGACGGUGAGGGACGAAG
rnacentral:rRNA from 1 species